CUCCCAGUAAUAUGUUACGAAUGUAUAUGUUUGUGUUUUUUAUUGAAAUUUUGGAUUUUUAUUUGCAAUUUUUUAUAUUCUAACAGACAAUCAUUAAAUAUGAUAGAUAAACAAGUAGAAAAGAAUAUAGUAAUACAUAAUACUCUCCUCAUAUGUAAUACUCUCCUUAAACGUAAAUCAAAUUGUUUAAACCGGAUAUGAUGAUUAAAUGUUGUAUCGGCAUGGUUUUAUCUGUCUACUUUGCUUUUUCAAUUUGGUUGCCAGCUUCAACCCAAUUCUUGAUUUAGAACUAUGAUUUUGAACUAAAACAUUUCCGAGUUGAAUAAAAUACUAUUUAUUCUUAACUGUAUUUUUUUUGAGGCUUCAGUUAUCAAAUGUUGGUGGUAAUUUUAGUUAUGCCACUGUGAAAGCGUCGAUUGUUAAGAAGACAUAAAAAGUUUGAAGUAUGCACAAAGCCUGAAAGUGUCAAAUAUGGAACUAGAAAAACCUGCCUUUGCCACUAACUGUAUAAAGGUUUUUUAAGGUCUGUUUGUCAAGCGUCAAGUCAGGUUAUCUUGCUACUGGUACCAUGUAGUACAUCCUGCUUAAGCAGGUUGUACGCCAUCCAUACGACGUUUGGACAUCUGUUUGUAAAAUAUUGCUGCAAAUCUUUUUGAGAGAGCCAUUACUAUGGAGAACCAUCUAAACCAUACAAGUGUGGAAACAUGGAUAUUAAUGUGAAAUAAACUGAUGAGUUUAUUU
rnacentral:lncRNA from 1 species